UCUAGGCCGUCAGACAUUGGCAAUGAAGUGAUGAAACUCAUAAAUGACGAGUCAAAAAACGGUCAAGUGUUAUUAAUCUCAAAAGAUCCAGAAAGUCCCACGCAGGUGAAGGUUGAAAACAUUGAGUUAAAAUAACUGACGUUAUAUGUACACUUAUUAUCAAGUUUGAAAUGCUCAAUGUUUCAUUUGACGAAAGGCAGUUUGUCAAUAAAAUCGAACUUACUGGUGAGUCUGUG